AUAACAGGACUCUUAGGCUGAGAUACUUCCAUGAAUGCCAGUUUCAUCUGAGAGGGAGUUAGGUAUUUCAGGAGCAAUCAAAUCUGAGUCUGGGCUACUGAGAUCAUCGCAGUGAGGCUGUUCACCAUUGGAGCUGCUUUCUUCUACUUGGUUCCUUGCAAUCACCUGUCUGCAAUGCGUGGAAGGAAAAAAGCAUACCAUUAUUGGGGACCUCCAUUUGGAAGACAGAUACCAGCAGUUUCAUAAGCAGGGCUGGAGAACAUGCAUCCUAGAGACCCGAAAACUGGCUGAGGAGACCUCUGGCCGACUCAUGUUAAUUUUUAACCAUCCUCGGAAUAGCAGGGAAAUUCUACAAGACUGGAAGAGCGCUAAUGUGCCAGCACGCAGAGUCACCCUAAGCCAGUGAAACUGACCUCAGUCCCAGGAAAAAUCAUGGGAAAAACUAAGAUAAGAUACAACUGACAAAGGUUUCAAAGGACAGAAAAAAAAAAAUAAUUCCAGACAGUGAGUUUUAGAGAACAACAGGUAUGGUGAAACAAGCCUGAUUUUGUUCUUCGGGGGGAUUACAGUUUGGCUGAUAAAGGUGGCUGCAUAUAUGUAACCUAUUUAUACUGCAGUAAGGCAUUUGACUUAGUAUUCCAUUCUGUUUUCUUUAAAAAGAGCUAUAUACAAACCCCACUAAGGGGUAUUCUGUGAAUAAGACUUCUCAAAGAGUAACUGGGGAAUGAUCCCUGCCUGUGGAUGUUUCUAGCAAAGCUCCACAGCUACCUGAUGCUGUUCACUAUUUUCAUCAGUGAUCUGAAAGUAAGUAUAAGAUCACUGUGAAUGAAAUUUACAGAUAAAGAUAAGGCGAUACAAGGAAGAGCAGUCAUAUACAGCAGUCUGGGCAGCCAGGUAAGACGGACCUAAUCAAACAAAAUGCGUUGUAAAGCCUCACCCCUGGCAAUUAUGUUAUUUGUUGAGAAUUGCAGAUUUUUCUUAAACUACUCCCCCUAAAAACAGUGCAUUGAGAAUUCGUUUUCCUUGUAGCACACGAAAGCUUGAGAUGUUAACGAAUAAAAAAAAUAGAGUUAAUAUUUUGAAUUCCUUGAUUCUGGGGACAGACACGUGAUCUUUUAAAGUCUGGAGUAGGUGAUACUGUGAUUCCAAAAUAUCGUAUGCUUAUCACAAUUUGAUCUGUCCACAGUGAUCAUUUUUUUGGCAUCACCACCUUACCCCUCUCUUCUCUUCAUUUAUAAAUAGCUAUAUAUUUUUUAAUGCAAAUACAUGUUUAGCCCUAAUUUUAUUAAAGUUUAUUAACUAAGGCAAGAUGCAGUGCCAAGAAAUUGUGAUUUAACAAGGCACAGAAAUGAGAAGUACUGACCAAAACAAUAAAUACAAGAACUUGUUCUCCUCUGCAGGGGUACAGCACCUGGGCAGAGACUUUGGCAGCCCUCGGUGGGCAGCACUCUCAAACUUCCUCUAGAGCAUCUGUUUUCUGUGGUUUGUUUUAUGUCUCUUGAGAAUGAGCGGACUUGUUUUUACGUUGUGUCAGGAGUGCCUGGACUGGACGUUCUGUACCUUUUGAGGGGAAAAUGUUGGAUUUGAUAAUAUGUUUGUUGAUAGGACACUGUUAGAAUGCAUUGCUCAUGAGCUAUUUCACAAAUGGAAGUGUGUUAUGUAUGUCACUUGUAAAUGUCUAUCUGGUGCCUAUUAUAUAGGAAGCCUUUGUAUGACAUUAAAAACUAUUUAACGUUUUGAAAACAAAAAGCCCUAUCAUCUUAGUUUUCAAAAGAGAAAGGGCAAGAACAAGAACUUCAGAAAGCAGUGGAUAGCAUCUUAACACUGACAGACUAUCUCCCAGGAACUGAGACGCAGAGGCCACUGCACCGCCCACCCUGGAUGUAUGUUUGCCUGGUCGCUCCUGGUUUGGAGAAUGUUUGUCUGAGCAGCAGCUGCAGAGGGCGUGUUCUCACCUCAUGUUCAGUGCAUGAGUCUCAAUGGAUGAGAUUUAAGGAAGGACACCAGCUACUGGAAACUGUCUACUGUGAUAGGAGAGAGAGGGCUGGAGAAAGUAGAGAACAAGAACAGCUGCCUGAGAACAUGGUCUGCUUACUCAGGGAAGUACCUCUCAUGAUAGUCUCCUUCCUAUACUAUUAAUAAGGACUUCAUCUCCCCAAAGACAAGGGAUCAAAAAAACCUGAGCUGUCAAAUAUCCAAAUGAGCUCCCCAGUUCCAGGAAUGAGGCAGCUGUUGCAAUUUAUCUGGAUGGAGUGGAAAAUUGAAAGAGCACAUGGACAUUGUACAGUCUGUCCACGAAGAAAACUCUCACCUGCAAACUGAGAAGCUGGCUGCACAACAGGGAUAUCAUGAUGGUGACAAAGGGGACUGGGACAUAGAUUCCUUGCUGCAGCCUUCUUGCAAGUAUCAACCCUCCUCUUCUCCCCAAACUCAUUCAUCUGACUUGGCACCAGAUAACUCUGCAGUGCAGAGAAGAUUGUGGUGCAAUCAGAUCAUGGAUUGAGGUCCGGGCAAGCUUCAGAGUCUAAAGAUUAUGCUGUGGCAUAUGCAGAUCCAGUUGUUGCAUGUGGCAUUCAGAGGAGCUUGAUGCUGACUUCUUUUCUGUGUGGAUAUACAGCUAAAAAAUCAGCAGAUUAUACCGUGGUAGAUGUCUUGGCCUUGCCCAGAUAGUGAGACCUUGCUGUACACAGAGGUGGAGGAGAUACAAUCACUGCAUGUUACACAAAGCCAGAAUGUAAUCUUCAGGGGACCCUAAGAGAUCUAGCUGGCAAUAAAGACAGCUGACACGCCCUAAGAGGGAAAUGCCUGAAAGACUUGAAAGUACUCUUGUUUCACCAGGCAGAUGAGCAGCUGAAACAGUACAUGCUGCCCUGAGUGACCCUGAGCUGAGCUUGACAGAGAGAUGGAUGAGCACAGGAACAGUGAAGAAUCACAGAAUCACAGAAUGGUUGAGGUUGGAAGGAGC